GAUGAACGCUGGCGGCGUGCCUAAUACAUGCGAGUCGAGCGAACGGACGAGAAGCUUGCUUCUCUGAUGUUAGCGGCGGACGGGUGAGUAACACGUGGAUAACCUACCUAUAAGACUGGGAUAACUUCGGGAAACCGGAGCUAAUACCGGAUGAUAUUUUGAACCGCAUGGUUCAAAAGUGAAAGACGGUCUUGCUGUCACUUAUAGAUGGAUCCGCGCUGCAUUAGCUAGUUGGUAAGGUAACGGCUUACCAAGGCAACGAUGCAUAGCCGACCUGAGAGGGGGAUCGGCCACACGGGAACUGAGACACGGUCCAGACUCCUACGGGAGGGAGCAGUAGGGAAUCUUCCGCAAUGGGCGAAAGCCUGACGGAGCAACGCCGCGUGAGUGAUGAAGGUCUUCGGAUCGUAAAACUCUGUUAUUAGGGAAGAACAUAUGUGUAAGUAACUGUGCACAUCUUGACGGUACCUAAUCAAAAAGCCACGGCUAACUACGUG
rnacentral:rRNA from 1 species